rnacentral:rRNA from 1 species
UACAGAGGGUGGCGAGCGUUGUUCGGAAUUAUUGGGCGUAAAGCGCUUGUAGGCGGCUUGUUAAGUUCCGUGUGAAAUCCCCAGGCUUAACCUCGGGAAGUGCGUCGGAAAACUGGCGAGCUUGAGUGCCGGAGAGGGUCGCGGAAUUCCCGGUGUAGAGGUGAAAUUCGUAGAGUAUCGGGAGGAACACCAGUGGCGAAGGCGGCG